UGAAACAUCAGAGCCAGAUGAUAAUCCAGCUGACACACAACGUUUUCAGCCUUUCAAAGGUUAAUGUGAAGGGUGUAUAUUGGUAACGUCAUGACACAAUGUUUUCACAAGGUUAAUGUGAAGGGUGUAUAUUGGUAACGUCAUGACACAAUGUUUUCACAAGGUUAAUGUGAAGGGUGUAUAUUGUUAACGUCAUGACACAACGUUUUCACAAGGUUAAUGUGAAGGGUGUAUAUUGGUAACGUCAUGACACAACGUUUUCACAAGGUUAAUGUGAAGGGUGUAUAUUGGUAACGUCAUG